AUGAAACAAAACUCCGUUUCCUUAAAGGAGAUUGUGAAGGCUUAAGACACUGAAUUGCUCUUCCAGAAUAAGAUCCUGGAAUGGAACAGAGGGCACACCUUGCCCUGGCAUUCUCUCAACCCGCAAGAACAUGACUAUUUCAUAACAGCUCAGGGAGGUGAACACCCAAGACCUUCAAGGAUGUCAUAUUUAGCAGUGGAUUGUGAAAUGCUUGAAAACUGGAAUCGUAGGAGCAUUAUUUAAUGCUAAGUGUUAUCCGCAUCAUAGCAGAAGCUGGAACAUGCCAGGAAAACAUCCUUCACAUUCUGCAUCUAAUACAUCUGAGCUUUCAGGAUCAGUCGUGAGUUGGCUGGGUGCUCAGAUGUUUAUGCUGAUGGGAUCAGAAAUGCCGUCAAAAGGUGAGUGGGGAAGGUGUGGUGGGAAUUUUGAGCAUGAC